UCUGCCCCAUGUCACGGAUUCACCGGCAAAGGAAAACCAAACCUAAUUCGCCAGUCGUGCCGUGAACAAGGGAGUAAAGAUAAACGCCAUGGCACAAGGAGCCGCACCCGGGUCAAGCCGUGCCUCUCCGCCUGGUCUCCCACCAGCCUACAUGCCGAAACCAGCCACCUCCGUCGUUUGUCCUCCGGGCCUUGAGUACCUGACAACCAUAGAUCAAGUUAUAAUAGUGCAACAAAAGGAAAUCCUCGAAGG
rnacentral:lncRNA from 1 species